rnacentral:rRNA from 1 species
GACGAACGCUGGCGGCGUGCUUAACACAUGCAAGUCGAACGGAAAGGCCCUGCUUUUGUGGGGUGCUCGAGUGGCGAACGGGUGAGUAACACGUGAGUAACCUGCCCUUGACUUUGGGAUAACUUCAGGAAACUGGGGCUAAUACCGGAUAGGAGCUCCUGCUGCAUGGUGGGGGUUGGAAAGUUUCGGCGGUUGGGGAUGGACUCGCGGCUUAUCAGCUUGUUGGUGGGGUAGUGGCUUACCAAGGCUUUGACGGGUAGCCGGCCUGAGAGGGUGACCGGCCACAUUGGGACUGAGAUACGACCCAGACUCCUACGGGAGGCAGCAGUGGGAGAUAGUGCACGAUGGGCGGAAGCCUGAUGCAGCAACGCCGCGUGCGGGAUGACGGCCUGCGGGUUGUAAACCGCGUUCGCCUGUGACGAAGCGUGAGUGACGGUAAUGGGUAAAGAAGCACCGGCUAACUACGUG